rnacentral:rRNA from 1 species
AACAAACGCUGGCGGCGUGCCUAAUACAUGCAAGUCGAACGGGGAAAGCUUUCGGGUGAGUACUAGUGGCGCACGGGUGAGGAACGCGUGGAUAAUCUGCCCUAGAGUGGGGGAUAACUAGUCGAAAGAUUAGCUAAUACCGCAUAAGACCACAGGAGCUGCGGCUCAAGGGGUCAAAGGUUUUUCGCUCUAAGAUGAGUCCGCGUAAGAGUAGCUAGUUGGUGAGGUAACGGCUCACCAAGGCGACGACCUUUAACUGGUCUGAGAGGAUGAUCAGUCACACUGGAACUGAGACACGGUCCAGACUCCUACGGGAGGCAGCAGUAGGGAAUAUUGCACAAUGGAGGAAACUCUGAUGCAGCGACGCCGCGUGAGUGAUGAAGGCCUUCGGGUCGUAAAGCUCUGUCGCAGGGGAAUAACACAAUGAAGGUACCCUGUAAGAAAGGAUCGGCUAACUUCGUGCCAGCCGCCGCAGUAACAC